GUUGCUACCAAUAAUCCUCAUCCCCGGGUGCUAAGGUGCAGCUGAGUUACAGAUUUGGACUUGAUGAAGAGCCUACAAAUAGUGCUUGCACCUCUAAGAAUAAAAUACCACUUCAAAGUGUCAGCCCUUUGGAUCCUCACUUUUUAGUAUUCAGGAAGAUAAGCAAGCCAGCUAGCAAGGGUCUGCAAUCCUCCUUGCUGUAUUUUAAAAGCAGAACCUGCAGCAACUACAAAGCCCUAAGAGAGGCAAGGCUUCAAUUCUGUGGACACCAGUGACAUUCUCAGGGGUGCAUCUCUCGAUCUCAGCCCGUGCUUCCCACCUCCUGCAAAGGUAGCCAUGCGGCAAAUUAAACAACAGUGGAUAUGAAGGAUUCCAAUUUCAAGGGAGAAAAGAAGGAACCUGUAACAGAGCCUGGAAAUCACAGCUAUUAAAGCAGGGAGACUUUCUGAAGCUACAGAACUCAGCAGCUCCUGCACGUUGGGUACCACCAAGUUCCAACUACAGAGCUUGGGAAGGAGGAAACACCAAAUUCAGAGGGAGUCAGUCCUAAAAACUGCAGUGAUACAGUCCAGGCUGAGGAAAGCACAUGCUUAACCAUGAGCAACUUCAGAAGCACACGGCAGGAUUUCCUCUUCCUUGCAGCUCUCUGUGAAGCAGUGGCACAUGAAUGUUUUUAGACACCCACCUGUGGUGUGGUGGUUCUUUCCCUUUGUUUGGUGGCUCUGACAGUAUGGAGGAAAGAUGAGGUGUGCCCUGGACUCAUUGCUCUGCAGUUUUCCCUCACUCUUCUACCUGUCUCCCUUUGGACAGCUCCAGAGCACUUUAGCUUCAGGACUAAGUUGUUUCUACUUCUGAGAAAAUAUGAACUCAAUUCAUUAUUUCUGCUGAAAAUGAGUUCAUGUUGUAAAUCAAGACGAGAUUUCAGAAGAGGUGCAUUUAUGCUGGAAGGAGGAAAGAAGAAAUUCCCGUCAGUAUCCUGUCACUGCUUUUGGCACAUCAUGUUUGGUGGCAUAUUACAUGCUGCUGCACAAGCUUCUUCUACAAAAUACCUGCUUCUCAUUCAAGUUAAAUUGCAAAGCUGCCAUGAGGUUCAACAUGACAGGAAGGCUUUGUGAGCUUUGCUGCUGUUGGAGUCACCACUGUGCUCUUCCUGAAGCUCUGCCACCACACCAUCAAACAGGUACAAGUUUCUGUGCUCCUGCACUCUGCAAUUUCACACACUUCUCUUGUAUAAGGGCAUGCUUGAAUUUUUGCCUUCCAAUAUGUUUUAACUGAGUACCAGUGACAGGUGCUGCAUAACACACAUGGUGCACAACUGCAGCUGCCAAAGCUUCCCUGCAGAUUGGUCCCUUCAGUGCUGCUAAUUCCUUGCUGUGAACCUGAGUGAUCAGACUGAAAUCUGGAAAAGGAGCCCAGCCUACAUCACUCAAAAGAAAUCUCCUUUACCCUCUCCUGAUCUCCUACAUCUGAAAGACUUCCAGCCAAGGUGCUGCCAUCUGUGCUCACAAGAGGGAGGAGAUUCUACAGCUUUCCAUCUUUUGUAUUCUUCCAUGUAAUCUCUAUUUAUGUGACCAAAACACUAGGAUUAGAUGAAAUACACAAAAGUAUUCCCAAAAGAAAUGGCUUGAGCAAUUUGAUUGCUUAUUUCCCAGGAGCUCUCCUCAUGUUAAAACCUCUCAAUCUCUAAAAUUAGUAGCUGGGGAAGAACAGAUCAUGAAAGAGCAAACUAAGAAACAAAAAACCACAAUCACACAGCUAUAUCAGCUGGAUUUGUGCUCUGGAUCAGCUUUUGCUACUUAAAUAUGUAUUACUGACAAAGAUUUCUUAGUGUUGUCUUUAUUCAGAGAGUUACUCUCAGUCAAAUUACUGGCUAAAAUCCAAAUAGGUAAAUUCUGAUUCCUUUAACUCUUGAAUGUACCCAUUUCAAAGCACUUACUCUGCACUCUGCUGCAUUUUUCUCUGUUAAUCAAUACCUUUCUAUGACAAGACCCUGAAAAUCCAAAAUGUGCUAUACAACUAAAUAAGAAGCCACAGCUUGCAGUCCUUGGCUCCAGGCCAUGCCACCCCUCCAUACAGAGCCAGACAGGCACAGGUAUCCACCUUCACACACGUUGGUUGUAACCUAAACUGAGGGAUAAUUGCAAAGGCUUUGACAAAUGAGAUAAAAAUGUAACUUGGAGCUUGGGAUGAAUGAUAAAUAUACAAAGUUUGGAUGAUCUGAGGCAAGGAUGCUACAUGGAUUUGUAGCUGGCAUCUACUUCCAGAAGCCCAUUUCCAGGAAAGUAUUGGCAAACACAGAUUUACGUGAUCUGUGGGCAUGUGGAUUGUAGGGAAAAUGGAGUCACACAGUUUUUCUCUGUAAAUCUGUACACUUGAAAGAAGACAUAGGAAAAAUGGAAAUAACAAUCUCCCCACCGUGCUCUGUUUCUUCUAAGUGUUUCCAUGCUGAUGGCUGGAAACACAUACUAAAGACACCUGGAUUUUUCUUCACUGCAACAACUGCACAUUUGCCUCCACCAGUUCAAGGAUGCUGCAACAAAACAUGCACAAAAUAAAGUAUGCCCCUCUCCCAAAACUUGAAAACACCAUGAAGUUGAUGUUUCUGUAAUACUUGCAAUUCAUCAUUUACAGAGUACCAUGAUCUUCAGGGUAACCUGGAACAUGCAGAGAGCUCAUUAGCACAUUAGUUGUCAUGGGGAAUAUAAUUCUAGCUCCCAUUUCUGGCAAAUUAAAUUUUUAUAAUUAGGUCUGCUCUUCAAUACAUUUUGUCCAUCAGAAUCAGACAAUAAUUUUGUUUUGCAUAGUCUUGUGCAACCAUAAGGGCCUCAACCAUAUAGUGAAAAUUUGUGUAGAGAAAAAUAUAGAGAAAAUAUACUCCAUAGAACACCAAACAGUUUAGGAGAAACUGUCCAUAUGAAAGAUU